rnacentral:rRNA from 1 species
UACGUAGGGGGCAAGCGUUGUCCGGAUUUAUUGGGCGUAAAGAGCGUGUAGGCGGCCAUACAGGUCAGCUGUGAAAACUCGAGGCUCAACCUCGAGACGUCGGUUGAAACCGUAUGGCUAGAGUCCGGAAGAGGAGAGUGGAAUUCCCGGUGUAGCGGUGAAAUGCGUAGAUAUCGGGAAGAACACCCGUGGCGAAGGCGGCUCUCUGGGACGGUACUGACGCUGAGACGCGAAAGCGUGGGGAGCGAACAGG